ensembl:lncRNA CRYBB2P1 crystallin beta B2 pseudogene 1
GUGCGUGGCGUGGAGUCCAGAAUGAGAAGAAGGAAAGCGGGGCCGGUUCCUUCAGGACCCGCCUCAGGGGGCACCGCGGCGGCUUGGGGACCACUUGGAGCCCCGUCCUGGGGAGAAAACAGCUCACGUCUAUGGCCCUGACUGCUUAGGCGGGAGCUGCGUGCAGCUCAGCUUCUCCGGGGCAUUUUUUUCUACACGCUGGGUGAGCUAUGAACAGGCCAACUGCAAGGGCGAGCAGUUUGUGUUUGAGAAGGGCGAGUACGCCCACUGGGACUGGUGGACCAGCAGCCAGAGGACAGACUCAGCAGCCUGAGGCCCAUCAAAGUGGACAGCCAAGAGCACAAGAUCAUCCUCUAUGAAAACCCCAACUUCACCGGGAAGAAGAUGGAAAUCAUAGAUGACGAUGUACCCAGCUUCCACGCCCAUGGCUACCAGGAGAAGGUGUCAUCUGUGUGGGUGCGGAGUGGCAUGUGGGUUGGCUACUAGUACCCUGGCUACCGUGGGCUGCAGUACCUGCUGGAGAAGGGAGACUACAAGGACAGCAGCGACUUUGGGGCCCGUCACCCUCAGGUACAGUCCGUGCGCUGCAUCCACGACAUGCAGGGGCACCAAUGUGGUGCCUUCCACCCCUCCAACUAGUGCCCACCCCACCAUGCCUCCUUCCCAGGACCCAGGUCUGCUGCCCAGGAACCCUCCAGACCUCCCAGAGAGUGAAUGAAGUGUGACUUGCAACUUG